GCGGGCAUAGCUCAGCAGGUAGAGCAAUAGACUGUUAAUCUAUUGGUCGUAGGUUCGAGCCCUACUGCCCGCG
rnacentral:tRNA from 1 species